rnacentral:rRNA from 2 species
GGCUACUACAUCCAAGGAAGGCAGCAGGCGCGCAAAUUACCCAAUCCCGAUACGGGGAGGUAGUGACAAUAAAUACUGAUACAGGGCUCUUUUGGGUCUUGUAAUUGGAAUGAGUACAAUUUAAUUCCCUUAACGAGGAACAAUUGGAGGGCAAGUCUGGUGCCAGCAGCCGCGGUAAUUCCAGCUCCAAUAGCGUAUAUUAAAGUUGUUGCAGUUAAAAAGCUCGUAGUUGAACCUUGGGCCUGGCUGGCCGGUCCGCCUCACCGCGUGCACUGGUCCGGCCGGGCCUUUCCCUCUGGGGAACCGCAUGCCCUUCACUGGGCGUGUCGGGGAACCAGGACUUUUACUUUGAAAAAAUUAGAGUGUUCAAAGCAGGCUUAUGCUCGGAUACAUUAGCAUGGAAUAAUAGAAUAGGACGUGCGGUUCUAUUUUGUUGGUUUCUAGGACCGCCGUAAUGAUUAAUAGGGACAGUCGGGGGCAUCAGU